rnacentral:rRNA from 1 species
CCUACGGGAGGCAGCAGUGAGGAAUAUUGGUCAAUGGGCUUACGCCUGAACCAGCCAAGUCGCGUGAGGGAAGACUGCCCUAUGGGUUGUAAACCUCUUUUGUCAGGGAGCAACGCCGGCUACGUGUAGCCGGACUGAGAGUACCUGAAGAAAAAGCAUCGGCUAACUCCGUGCCAGCAGCCGCGGUAAUCCGGAGGAUGCGAGCGUUAUCCGGAUUUAUUGGGUUUAAAGGGUGCGUGGGCGGAAUGCCAAGUCAGCGGUAAAGUCGCGGGGCUCAACCUCGCUCCGCCGUUGAUACUGGCGUUCUUGAGUGGGCGAGAAGUAUGCGGAAUGCGUGGUGUAGCGGUGAAAUGCAUAGAUAUCACGCAGAACUCCGAUUGCGAAGGCAGCAUACCGGCGCCCAACUGACGCUGAAGCACGAAAGCGUGGGUAUCGAACAGGAUUAGAUACCCGAGUAGUC